rnacentral:rRNA from 1 species
GGGGAAUUUUGGACAGUGGGCGCAAGCUUGAUCCAGCAACGCCGCGUGCGGGAUGAAGGCCUUCGGGUUGUAAACCGCUUUCAGCAGGGACGAAGGUUCUCUGACGGUACCUGCAGAAGAAGCACCGGCUAACUACGUGCCAGCUGCCGCGGUGAUACGUAGGGUGCGAGCGUUGUCCGGAAUUAUUGGGCGUAAAGAGCUUGUAGGCGGUCUGUUGCGUCGGAAGUGAAAACUCAGGGCUUAACCCUGAGCCUGCUUUCGAUACGGGCAGACUUGAGGGAUGUAGGGGAGAACGGAAUUCCUGGUGGAGCGGUGGAAUGCGCAGAUAUCAGGAGGAACACCAGUGGCGAAGGCGGUUCUCUGGACAUUUCCUGACGCUGAGAAGCGAAAGCGUGGGGAGCAAACA